rnacentral:rRNA from 1 species
UACGUAGGGUGCGAGCGUUGUCCGGAAUUAUUGGGCGUAAAGAGCUCGUAGGCGGUCUGUCGCGUCGGCUGUGAAAACCCGGGGCUCAACCCCGGGCCUGCAGUCGAUACGGGCAGACUAGAGUUCGGCAGGGGAGACUGGAAUUCCUGGUGUAGCGGUGAAAUGCGCAGAUAUCAGGAGGAACACCGGUGGCGAAGGCGGGUCUCUGGGCAGUAACUGACGCUGAGGAGCGAAAGCGUGGGGAGCGAACAGG